AAGGCUUUUUGAAAAUGGCCUCUUUUCAAUGGAACUUUAUCCUACAUUAGGGUUAGGGGUGUGCCCCAGGGUAGGGUUAAGGUUAGAAAAACGAGGCAUCUUGGCAUGAAUUUGAUGGCUGCAACGUGCUUAGAAUGGGCAGAAAUGCUGAGCUGUGCAGAAAAAGCUACUCAAGGAAGGAUUUAUC